UGAGCAAUCUGCCCUUCUCUUUGGAAUAAGCGUUGGAAACGACGUCUAAUGCCGAAUACGACCUUCUUUCGCAUGAUCGGAGGUGGAAAAGCUCCGGCGGAGAAGGAUGAGCUCGCGGCCUAUCAGCUAGUUGGUGUGGGUAAUAGCCCACCAAGGCGACGACGGGUAGCCGGCCUGAGAGGGUGACCCGGCCACACGUGGGACUGAGACACGGCCCAGACCUCCGACGGGAGNAGCG
rnacentral:rRNA from 1 species